GAGCGGCGAACGGGUGAGUAACACGUGGGUAAUCUGCCCUGCACUCUGGGAUAAGCCCGGGAAACUGGGUCUAAUACCGGAUACGACCNCUCGNGNGCAUNCGUGGNGGUGGAAAGUUCCGGCGGUGCAGGAUGAGCCCGCGGCCUAUCAGCUUGUUGGUGGGGUGAUGGCCUACCAAGGCGACGACGGGUAGCCGGCCUGAGAGGGCGACCGGCCACACUGGGACUGAGACACGGCCCAGACUCCUACGGGAGGCAGCAGUGGGGAAUAUUGCGCAAUGGGCGAAAGCCUGACGCAGCGACGCCGCGUGAGGGAUGACGGCCUUCGGGUUGUAAACCUCUUUCGCCAGGGACGAAGAGUGAUUGACGGUACCUGGAGAAGAAGCACCGGCUAACUACGUGCCAGCAGCCGCGGUAAUACGUAGGGUGCGAGCGUUGUCCGGAAUUAUUGGGCGUAAAGAGCUCGUAGGCGGUUUGUUGCGUCGGCCGUGAAAACUUCACGCUUAACGUGGAGCUUGCGGUCGAUACGGGCAGACUUGAGUUCGGUAGGGGAGACUGGAAUUCCU
rnacentral:rRNA from 1 species